GAGGAGAUAUUUGGUGGGUUUUGAGUGACAUCCAAUCUCUAGAACUAUACAAUGCCCCAACCACUCUAUUUCAGAAAGAACUUCGUACAAACCUGAAUUGUCCAAUUGCAUAGACCAAUCGAUAUCAGAUUGAGUCCAAAACUUGGGGAACAACAUAAUGUCGUGGGAGGAGUCAUUUUGUGAGUUUUGAGUGAAUUCUAAUGGCUAAAACAAUGCAA
rnacentral:lncRNA from 1 species